AUUGAACGCUGGCGGCAUGCCUUACACAUGCAAGUCGAACGGCAGCGGGGGAGAAGCUUGCUUUUCCUGCCGGCGAGUGGCGAACGGGUGAGUAAUACAUCGGAACGUGCCCUGUCGUGGGGGAUAACUAGUCGAAAGAUUAGCUAAUACCGCAUACGACCUGAGGGUGAAAGUGGGGGACCGCAAGGCCUCAUGCUAUAGGAGCGGCCGAUGUCUGAUUAGCUAGUUGGUGGGGUAAAGCCCUACCAAGGCGACGAUCAGUAGCUGGUCUGAGGGGACGAUCAGCCAGACGGGGGCUGAGAAACGGCCCAGACUCAUACGGGAGGCAGCAGUGGGGAAUUUUGGACAAUGGGCGAAAGCCUGAUCCAGCAAUGCCGCGUGUGUGGAGAAGGCCUUCGGGUUGUAAAGCACUUUUGUCCGGAAAGAAAUGGCUCUGGUUAAUACCUGGGGUCGAUUACGGUACCGAAAGAAUAAGGACCCGCUAACUACGUGCCAGCAGCCGCCGUAAAAC
rnacentral:rRNA from 1 species